rnacentral:rRNA from 1 species
UGUGACUGCGGAGGUCAUUAAUGAAUUUUGAAGGGGUUGUAGCUGGCCUUUCAGGAGGCAUAUAUUGUGCACGCCCUGAUCAUUAUCCACCAUCAUACACCUGUGCACACACUGUAGGUUGGCUCGAGCCUCUGUUGCUCUUGCUGGUCUAUGUCCUUUUAAUAACACAUGUUGAGAGAAUGUUCAUUGCGUGUAACGCAUUUAUAUACAACUUUCAGCAACGGAUCUCUUGGCUCUCGCAUCGAUGAAGAACGCAGCGAAAUGCGAUAAGUAAUGUGAAUUGCAGAAUUCAGUGAAUCAUCGAAUCUUUGAACGCACCUUGCGCUCCUUGGUAUUCCGAGGAGCAUGCCUGUUUGAGUGUCAUUUAAAUCUCAACUCUGUUUGCUUUUUGUGAACAGAGCUUGGACUUGGGGGAUUUUAUUGCUGGAACCCUUUGUGUGUUUCGGCUCCUCUUAAAUGCAUCAGCUUGGGCUCUUUGUGGGGAGUCAGCUUUUGGUGUGAUAAUUGUCUACGCCUGGCUGAUGAAGCGCAUAGUAGUGAGCUCUUAGCUUCCAAUGGUCCUGUGGACACACUUUGACCUUUGACCUCAAAUCAGGUAGGAUUACCCGCUGAACUUAAGCAUAUCAAUAAGCGGAGGAA